UGGGGAAUUUUGGACAAUGGGCGCAAGCCUGAUCCAGCCAUGCCGCGUGAGUGAAGAAGGCCUUCGGGUUGUAAAGCUCUUUCGGCCGGAACGAAAUCGCAGCGUCGAAUAAACGCUGUGGAUGACGGUACCGGAACAAGAAGCACCGGCUAACUACGUGCCAGCAGCCGCGGUAAUACGUAGGGUGCGAGCGUUAAUCGGAAUUACUGGGCGUAAAGCGUGCGCAGGCGGUUUGUUAAGCCAGAUGUGAAAGCCCCGGGCUCAACCUGGGAACUGCGUUUGGUACUGGCAAGCUAGAGUACGGCAGAGGGGGGUGGAAUUCCACGUGUAGCAGUGAAAUGCGUAGAGAUGUGGAGGAACACCGAUGGCGAAGGCAGCCCCCUGGGCCGAUACUGACGCUCAGGCACGAAAGCGUGGGGAGCAAACAG
rnacentral:rRNA from 1 species